rnacentral:rRNA from 1 species
GACGAACGCUGGCGGCGUGCCUAAUACAUGCAAGUAGAACGCACAGUUUAUACCGUAGCUUGCUACACCAUAAACUGUGAGUUGCGAACGGGUGAGUAACGCGUAGGUAACCUGCCUGGUAGCGGGGGAUAACUAUUGGAAACGAUAGCUAAUACCGCAUAAUAUUGAUUAUUGCAUGAUAAUUGAUUGAAAGAUGCUAUUGCAUCACUACCAGAUGGACCUGCGUUGUAUUAGCUAGUAGGUGAGGUAACGGCUCACCUAGGCGACGAUACAUAGCCGACCUGAGAGGGUGAUCGGCCACACUGGGACUGAGACACGGCCCAGACUCCUACGGGAGGCAGCAGUAGGGAAUCUUCGGCAAUGGACGAAAGUCUGACCGAGCAACGCCGCGUGAGUGAAGAAGGUUUUCGGAUCGUAAAGCUCUGUUGUAAGAGAAGAACGGGCGUGAGAGUGGAAAGUUCACACUGUGACGGUAUCUUACCAGAAAGGGACGGCUAACUACGUG